GGAUUAGUGUCCUUUAAAGAGACCCUAGAGAACUUCCUCUUUCUUUCCACUAUUUGAAGACACAGUGAGAAGGCAGCCAUCUGCAAACCAGGAAGAGGGCACUCAGAGAUAUGGGAUCUGCUGAUACCUUGGCCUUGAACUUCCAGCAUCCAUAACUUUGCAGGAGUGUGUUGGUUCAGUGCUCAAAAGUACAGUCCGGUGUGACAAUUACGACUUUGAACAUCGUUAAAAAGUUUCCUCUCUCCAGGAGCAUGGGGGCAGCUGGCUGAGAAGCCUCAAGCUGAUGGACCAUGAGUAGGUCCUUAUUGAUUAUCUAGUUUAUACAUGCUGCUGCUGCUGCUGCUAAGUUGCUUCAGUCGUGUCCGACUCUGUGCGACCCCACAGACGGCAGCCCACCAGGCUCCCCUGUUCCUGGGAUUCUCCAGAAUCCUGAUUAUCUUGAGGACUGCAAUGUUACCAGCUAAAACAUGUAUUUCAUAGCCUCUCUUAUAAAGAGAGGUAAGUAAAUUCUGGCCAAUGAGAUAGAAGUCAAGAUUUUUGGUGUGGAUCCCGGGAAAGCUUCUUAAAUGGUAGAUUGAUUCAAAUGGCUUUUGGCCUAUUACACACCCUCAUUCCCAUCUUGAACUUGGACCUGAUGGCUGGUACUGAACAGCCAUUUUGCAGCAAUGAGACUUUAUUUCAUGAACUAAGGAUGACGGAGCUAAAGGAUAGAGGAAGGAUGGCACAUUAAUAAAAUCGUGGAGUUGCUG
ensembl:lncRNA